rnacentral:tRNA from 1 species
GGACCGGUUGUCUAGUGGUUAGGAUGACGCACUCACACCGCAAAGGUCGUGGGUUCAAAUCCCAUCCGGUCCA